rnacentral:rRNA from 1 species
GACGAACGCUGGCGGCGUGCUUAACACAUGCAAGUCGAGCGGUAAGGCCCUUUCGGGGGUACGACGAGCGGCGAACGGGUGAGUAACACGUGGGUGACCUGCCCUCAGCUCUGGGAUAAGCCUGGGAAACCGGGUCUAAUACUGGAUAUGACUCCAUGACGCAUGUUGUGGGGUGGAAAGCCUUGUGCGGCUGAGGAUGGGCCCGCGGCCUAUCAGCUUGUUGGUGGGGUGAGGCCUACCAAGGCGACGACGGGUAGCCGGCCUGAGAGGGCGACCGGCCACACUGGGACUGAGACACGGCCCAGACUCCUACGGGAGGCAGCAGUGGGGAAUCUUGCGCAAUGGGCGAAAGCCUGACGCAGCGACGCCGCGUGAGGGAUGACGGCCUGUGU